rnacentral:rRNA from 1 species
GACAGAGGUGCCAAGCGUUAGGCGGAAUCACUGGGCUUAAAGCGUGUGUAGGCGGAUCGUUAAGUACCUUGUGAAAUCCCACGGCUCAACCGUGGAACUGCUGGGUAUACUGGCGGUCUUGAGCCACCUAGGGGCGAGCGGAACAAACGGUGGAGCGGUGAAAUGCGUAGAUAUCGUUUGGAACGCCAACGGUGAAAACAGCUCGCUGGGGGUGUGCUGACGCUGGAGACACGAAAGCCAGGGGAGCGAACGGG